CAGCCGCCACGGUAAUACGUAGGGUGCAAGCGUUAAUCGGAAUUACUAGGCGUAAAGCGUGCGCAGGCGGUUUGUUAAGACAGAUGUGAAAUCCCCGGGCUCAACCUGGGAACUGCAUUUGUGACUGGCAAGCUAGAGUCUGGCAGAGGGGGGUGGAAUUCCGCGUGUAGCAGUGAAAUGCGUAGAUAUGCGGAGGAACACCGAUGGUGAAGGCAGCCCCCUGGGCCAACACUGACGCUCAUGCACGAAAGCGUGGGGAGCAAACAGGAUUAGAUACCCGGGUAGUCCCUGUCUCUUAUAC
rnacentral:rRNA from 1 species